rnacentral:rRNA from 1 species
CCUACGGGAGGCAGCAGUGAGGAAUUUUCCGCAAUGGGCGAAAGCCUGACGGAGCAAUACCGCGUGAGGGAUGAAGGAUUUUGGUCUGUAAACCUCUUUUCUCAAGAAAGAAGUUCUGACGGUACUUGAGGAAUAAGCAUCGGCUAACUCCGUGCCAGCAGCCGCGGUAAUACGGGGGAUGCAAGCGUUAUCCGGAAUGAUUGGGCGUAAAGCGCCUGUAGGUUGUUUAUUAAGUCCGUUGUUAAAGCCUAGGGCUCAACCCUAGAAAAGCAAUGGAAACUAGUAGACUAGAGUAUGGCAGGGGUAGAGGGAAUUUCUAGUGUAGCGGUGAAAUGCGUAGAUAUUAGAAAGAACACCGGUGGCGAAAGCGCUCUACUGGACCAUUACUGACACUCAGAGGCGAAAGCUAGGGUAGCAAAAGGGAUUAGAUACCCCUGUAGUCCUAGCCGUAAACGAUGGAUACUAGAUGUUGUGNAUAUGUACUAGUAUACGUAGACUACGUACGUUAACGUUACUACCGUCCGUCGGGUAGGUACGUCGUCGCGACGGGUAGGUAACGUACAAAUAGUAAGUUAGUACGGCGUGAGACGUCGCCGACGGACGACGACGAGGGAGGUAGG